rnacentral:rRNA from 1 species
GAAUAUUGGACAAUGGGGGGAACCCUGAUCCAGCCAUGCCGCGUGUGUGAAGAAGGCCUUGUGGUUGUAAAGCACUUUAAGCGAGGAGGAGGAUACCUGGAUUAAUAAUUUAGGAUAGUGGACGUUACUGGAAGAGUAAGCACCGGCUAACUCUGGACCAGCAGCCGCGGUAAUACAGAGGGUGCGAGCGUUGAUCGGAUUUACUGGGCGUAAAUCGUGCGUAUGCGGCCAAUUAAGUCAAAUGGGAAAUCCCCGAGCUUAACUUGGGAAUUGCAUUCGAUACUGGUUGGCUAGAGUAUGGGAGAGGAUAGUAGAAUUCCAGGUGUAGCGGUGAAAUGCGUAGAGAUCUGGAGGAAUACCGAUGGCGAAGGCAGCCAUCUGGCCUAAUACUGACGCUGAGGUACGAAAGCAUGGGGAGCAAACA